GCCCCGCCCCUCAGUACAACAUGAAUUGAGGAGAGGAGGAGGAAUGGUCAGUUUCAGUUUGAACAUAGAUAUUAAAAUGACAGAGAUUUUCUUUCUGAUAGCCCGUUUUCUAGAGGAGAGCUCUUGUAGGAGAGCGUCUAAGGUACUGAUAGAAGAGUUGG